rnacentral:rRNA from 1 species
GACGAACGCUGGCGGUGUGCUUAACACAUGCAAGUCGAACGGUAAGGCCCUUUCGGGGGUCCACGAGUGGCGAACGGGUGAGUAACACGUGAGUAACCUGCCCUCAUCUCUGGGAUAACAGUCGGAAACGGUUGCUAAUACUGGAUAUGAGCUUGCAAGGCAUCUUGUGGGUUGGAAAGAUUUUUUUUGGUUGGGGAUGGACUCGCGGCCUAUCAGCUUGUUGGUGAGGUAGUGGCUCACCAAGGCUUCGACGGGUAGCCGGCCUGAGAGGGCGGCCGGCCACAUUGGGACUGAGAUACGGCCCAAACUCCUACGGGAGGCAGCAGUGGGGAAUAUUGCACAAUGGACGGAAGUCUGAUGCAGCAACGCCGCGUGCGGGAUGACGGCCUUCGGGUUGUAAACCGCUUUCAAUUGUGACGAAGCGUUUUUGUGACGGUAGCAGUAGAAGAAGCACCGGCUAACUACGUG